AGAAGAAGAAGCUGCUACACCGGAAGUCCGAUGUUUCUCGUAAAGGGCUACACCACAGAACAGUUUUGAGGUUGACGCGUUGAUUCGAAGUGUGGUGCCGAAGGAACAGUGCGCGGAAUUUCAGGCUUACUUCUUUGGCCAAGGGAAAAUCAGCCGAUUGUGUACAACUACGUCUUACAAAACGAAGGAGGUUAAUUGUCUGUUUAUCAGCGUUCGCCAUGGCGGCCUCAUCGGAGGAGGUGCUCUUGGUGGUGAAGAGGGUCCGGCAGAAAAAACAGGAUGGCACUCUAUACCUGAUGGCAGAGAGGAUCGCAUGGGGCCAAGAUGGCAAGGACCGCUUCACUGUCAGCCAUCUUUAUGCAGAUAUUCGUUGUCAAAAAAUCAGCCCUGAUGGCAAGGCCAAGAUCCAGCUGCAACUGGUCCUCCACUCUGGGGAAAGCACCACGUUCCACUUUGCAAACGAGACCAGUGCCCUCCAGGACCGUGAUGCAACCAAGGAUCUACUGCAACAACUUCUUCCCAAGUUCAAAAAGAAGGCCAACAAGGAACUGGAGGAGAAGAACCGAAUGCUCCAGGAGGACCCAGUGUUGUUCCAGCUCUACAAGGACCUAGUGGUGAGUCAGGUGAUCAGUGCAGAGGAGUUCUGGACCAAUCGGUUGAGCUUAAACUCCAUGGACCACUCCCUUACGAACAGCAAGCAGGAAGUUGGCAUCUCAGCAGCUUUUCUGGCUGACAUCAGGCCACAGACAGAUGGCUGCAAUGGGCUGAGAUACAACCUAACCUCUGAUAUCAUUGAAUCCAUCUUCAGAACAUAUCCUGCAGUGAAACAGAAAUAUGCUGAAAAUGUGCCUCACAACUUGACUGAGAAAGAGUUUUGGACCCGGUUCUUUCAGUCUCAUUACUUCCACCGAGACCGGAUCAGCACCGGGCUGCAGGACCUCUUCUCCGAGUGUGCCAAGCAAGAUGAGAAAGGUCUAAAGUUGAUGGUGGUUCAAGGAGUGAAGAACCCACUGGUGAACCUGCUGUGUCUGGAGGACAAGUCGCUUGAUGAGGGUUAUGGGGUUGCCACAGCAUCCUCUGCCUCACUUGGAAACAAGGUCAAGGAGAAUAACAAUUCUGCCAUUAUCAAACGCUUCAACCAUCAUAGUGCCAUGGUGCUUGCAGCUGGAUUACGUAAACAGGAAGCUGUCAGUGACCAGACUAGUGAAACCAGCAGCAUGGAUGGAAACUCCAGGGACUCUGACUAUUUCCAGCCACCCGUCAAGAAGGUGAAGUUGCAGGAAGCAAUUGAGUAUGAGGACCUACAGGGUAGGACUGUGCAGAAGAUGGUCACCCUAAACUUGAAGAGAUCUGACAGGUACUUUCACGGGCCUGUGCCCUUGCAGUCCCAAAAUUAUACCACCAGCCAGGACAUCAUCAACUCUGUUAGCUACAUUCAGCAUGAGAUGGCCAGCUACAAGCCCUGUCUGACUCAGGUUAUUUCCAGCAAUUCAGCCAGCUCUGCCAUUGUAGACCUUUCCCCCGGCGGUGUCCUUAUGCAGGCAGGGGCACAGCAAGCCAUAAACCACAUGGUACCCAACAAUGAGGAGGCAGAGCUGAAACAUUUGUACAUGGCAGCCGGAGAGCUACUACGGCACUUCUGGUCCUGUUUCCCUGUCAACACCCCCUUUUUGGAGGAGAAGGUGACCCUUAAUUGGUGAAGAUGAGGUCCAACCUGGAGAAGUUCCAGCUGACGAAACUCCGGCCUUUCCAGGAUAAGGUCCAGCGCCAAUACUUGAGUAUAAAUCUUACAGGACAUAUGGAGGAGAUGCUGCAGACAGCCUACAAUAAGUUCCAUGCCUGGCAGACCCACCACCACAUGCUGAGGAAGACCUGAGAAGAGGAUGAUUGAGAGGGAGUGGUGGAUACUGAGAAUAGGAGAACAGUCUGUUCUCUCCCAUGAGUUCCAUGGGACAUGAUCUCCCGACCUGAAAUGAGUAUGCGGAAAACCCACUAAACAGUGUGUCAUUUAAGAGAUGUACUGGAACAUUGCCAUGUAUCUUUUUUAUUUUUGGCACUGUCCCCCCUUACCCCCAUUGAAUGGCACUUACCUGGGUCUUCUACCAGACAACUGGAUUUGAGUGGGAUCAUUGAAAAUGGUUUCCAUGACAGUCACUGUUUGGUCUCUCAGAAGGACAAGUUGUCUUUCCAUGGAGGCAAAAGCAAAAAGAGCAUACAGCCAUCCUUUGUAUAGCAAAUGGCAAAAAUUCCUUAAAGAUGCCUCUUGACUGCUUAGUUUGGCUAGGGAAUUGAAUCUCUGGGAAGAGGAGAGGGGAGUGAAUAAAGCAAUACUGUAAUUAUCUGCCCAAGUCCGUGCAUGCGCUAAUUUGCUCAUCUGACUCUUAUUUGACAUCAACUCUUUUCUUCUUUUUACCACAUAAACUUUUUACACUGAAGAUCCAGUAUGAUGAAGUUCCUGGUGACCUUCUGAAUUUAGUUACUCAGAUGAUGAUGCUGCUGCUGCUACUGUAGCCACUGCCACCACUGUUGAUAUUUACAUAUUGUUCCCUGGUUGGGGAAUGUGUUCAGUAAUGAUUUAUGAAUUAUGAUUGUGGCAUUGUUGUGUGAAAAUUCUAAACUUAUGGAUGUAUAUGAAUCUGUGUGUCAAAGACAACGAGAAUGUGAGCUGGAUUUCUGGGGUCAACUCUAUAAGACCUCCCCUCAGGGGAAUUUCAAACAGUGAUUGCAGAAGGAUAUUAGUUAAUAUUGUUGUAAUUGACAUCUAUCAUCUGCCAGCUUGGGAGAGCACAGACAAACCCACAAUCUUCUCCAAAGCACAUGCUACCAUCUAACUCUAGCUUUCGUGUGACGGUGCACCAAGUCCUCAGCAGAGUAUACUUUUAUGUAGCUGGUGCAGGCAGAUUGCAGACAUGUAAUCUAAUUUACCAGGGGUGUUGCCUUGAGGCACAAUGAGACGCGGCAGUCCAGUUGACUGGAAUCAUCGUUCCCUGGGUGACACUAUGGCCAGUUAUCCACCUUCAAGUUGUAGUCAGCAUUUCACCAGGAUUCGAGAUUAGACUGUGGGGCACAUAACUUGUUUAUUUCACAAGCCAUGUCAUAGCACAAACAUAACUUUUUCUAACUUUUUCUGAAUUGUAUAAUUUUUUUCUUCAUCUGGAUGGCCAGCUAAAUAAUUUAGCAGUACUGCAGGGUGCACGUGGUACAUUUAAACAAUGGCCUUAUUGUCCAUAUUUUAAGUAUUCAGAAACAUGCUAUAUACUGUAUAUACUCAAGCCGUUGUAUUUUUAUGUCACUGAGCUUUGACUCACAUGAGUGGUUUUUCUUAUUUUCACUUAAUUGCAAAUUGCAUGUUGGAAUAAUUAUUCAACCCUCUCUUCA